rnacentral:lncRNA from 1 species
GCCCAAAGCAGUUAUUGAAGGCGCAGGAUCCCAGGGAAGGAAUGAAGAGCAGGAGGAGGAGGAAGAGGAGGGUGUUUUAGGCCAGGAGAACUAUGGGGUUUCUGUCGCUUCCACUCUUUCAGAUUUGCUGGCUCUUUCCUUCGAAGCCCGGGACAGCAGGCGAGCAGAUCCUCACCUUCCAGCUCGGUCUCUCUGGUGUUUUGGCAGAGGCGGCUCCAAUGCAUGGGCCAGACUCGGUCCCUGGCCAGGCCAACCCUGUCUCGGGAUCCUCUAGAAUGCAUCAGCUGGGCUUGGGAGCGAAGGGAGACGCCUGGAAGAGAAUUGUAUUGCUUCAUCCCCGAGGGCACCUAUGAGGACGCGGCUCUGGGAGCAGGGAUCUGGGCCCGGACGCGGGAAGAGGAGAACAGGGAGCAGGACCCAGGCGCGGGCUGGGGAUCAGAGCGCGGGAAGUGGGGAGCGGGUUCCGGGUUCAGACAGCGGGGCAUGGGAAGCCGGGCCACAGUAUACUCACCGCUGCGCAGCGUCCCGGUUGGCGGGCCGCGUAGGCCGGGCCGCCGCGGAAAGGAAAGGCCGGAGCCCUCCGGCUCCCUCCCCUGGGACACUUCCUGCACCGCUCUAGGACCGAGGAGGUCUCCUCAUCUCAGUGGUUCGCUUCCCCGCCUCCUGGCCGAGGUGUACGCGGGGGGGUGACAUCCGACACCCCCGGCCCGCCUGGACCGCCCCGCCCCGCCCCGCUCCGUGCUCUCCCGGCCUGGGCCCGGGGCCCGGGCUUUAGCUUUGUGGGCCUUCCUAGCGGGCUCGGGAUGCGCGCGCGCGCCCCGGCGGGACCCGGGCGCUGGGGGCCAGUUCGCGCGGCCACCAGCCAGGGAGGCCGGCUUGGGGCUUUGCUCUUCUCUGCUCCUCUUGUGUGGGCGCAGGGAAGGGCUGGUCUGGCGGCGCUGGCGAAAUGCCAGAAUUGGGAGGAGGAGGGAUGAGGUGUAAGGGGAUCUCCCAGUGACCAUUUGCAUCCCGUGUGUGCUGUUGUGCCCCAAUCCCUUCCAGCCGCAAUUCCAUUUCAAAGCCAACGCUGCCAGAGCCACCCAAAUCGGUAGGACUGGAGAAAUGCAGACCCAGCGAUCCACGGUGCUCGCCGAAGCAGCGGCCCGCGGCUUCGUGGCAUGGAGAUGAUCUACGAUUUCUCUGUUUAAGGAAGACUGUAGCACUCUGGGUCCCUCUGAGCACCAGGAUAGUCCUGGUACAUGGUAGGAAGUCACCCUUAAAGAAGGUGGUUUGAUAGAGACACCCCACCACCGGCAGACUUCGUGCUUCCGUUUCCUUCUAAUAAUUGGGACUGGGACAAUCUCUUCCGACUAGUAGAACCUGGAAUAGGGACUAAUAGACUGGAAUCGGAGCACCUGUGUUAAAUCACACCCAUCAAGGCGCAGUCAGGUGAUCUAAGGCCUGCGUGACCUCUCUGUGCUUCAGGGAUCGCAUUUGGAUGCAUGUGCAAGCUGUGCUGUAGCCACCUCAGGUCCUGAAUCUUUAGGACUUGCUGGAGCUCAUUGCUGAUCUAUUUUGGCAGCACGAGUGGUGAUGCACACCUGUAAUCUCCGCACUCCGGGACUGGGGGCUGGAGGAUCAGGUCAUGGUCUCCUAUAUAGUGAGCGAGUUUGGGGUCAGCUUGAAUGAUGAGAUACCCAGUCUGAAAAUAAAGAUGCAAAUUGAUGAGCUGUGGAGCGACACCCGCAUGCAGUUGAGUCAUCACGCAUAUACCUACCUCCCCACAUCCUUCAUGGCCCCCAGGAAGCUCCAGCUGGCUUACAGACUGACUUGUUUUGAGAUAGGGUCUCACUGUGUAGCCCUGACUGGCCUGGAACCCACCGAUCUGCUUGCUUCUGCCUCCUGAGCUGCGUGAUUAAAAGCAUGUGCCACCACACCUGGCUCUAUUGCAUUUAUUUAUGUAUGCGGUGGGAGUGGGUACGCACACACACUUUAGAGGUCAGAGAACAGCUUACCGCGAUCAGCUCUCUCUGUCCACCCUGGGGAUUGAACUCAGGUCGCCUGGCUUGCUAGCCAGUGUCUUUGCCACAGAGCCAUCUCAGCAGGUCAGUUUACUCUUUUAACCUGGGAGAGAACAUGCGGUGGGCCUUUGUCCUUCUGUGUUACUAUUUCAUUUAACUUGAUGUCUAUCCCUUUGGCUAUAAGUGAAGAAUUUCCUUACGGAUGCCUGAAUAAAACUCCAUUUUGU